UGAUGAUGAUGAUGAUGAUGAUGGUGAUGAUGCCGAUCACUAGCAUCAUCAUUCGUUGGUUACUCGUCGUCAACAACAUCUACAACAAUAAAA
rnacentral:miRNA from 1 species